rnacentral:rRNA from 1 species
UACGGGGGGGGCAAGCGUUGUUCGGAAUUACUGGGCGUAAAGGGCUCGUAGGCGGCCAACUAAGUCAGACGUGAAAUCCCCGGGCUCAACCUGGGAAUUGCAUUUGUGACUGCACGGCUAGAGUGUGUCAGAGGGGGUAGAAUUCCACGUGUAGCAGUGAAAUGCGUAGAGAUGUGGAGGAAUACCGAUGGCGAAGGCAGCCCCCUGGGAUAACACUGACGCUCAUGCACGAAAGCGUGGGGAGCAAACAGG